AUUGAACGCUGGCGGCAGGCCUAACACAUGCAAGUCGAGCGGGGUUUUCGGACCUAGCGGCGGACGGGUGAGUAAUGCGUAGGAAGCUGCCCGAUAGAGGGGGAUACCAGUUGGAAACGACUGUUAAUACCGCAUAAUGUCUACGGACCAAAGUAUGGGACCUUCGGGCCACAUGCUAUCGGAUGCGCCUACGUGGGAUUAGCUGGUUGGUGAGGUAAUGGCUCACCAAGGCGACGAUCUCUAGCUGGUUUGAGAGGAUGAUCAGCCACACUGGAACUGAGACACGGUCCAGACUCCUACGGGAGGCAGCAGUGGGGAAUAUUGGACAAUGGGCGCACGCCUGAUCCAGCCAUGCCGCGUGUGUGAAGAAGGCCUUCGGGUUGUAAAGCACUUUCAGCGAGGAGGAAGGGGUGUGUGUUAAUAGUACACACCUUUGACGUUACUCGCAGAAGAAGCACCGGCUAACUCUGUGCCAGCCGCCGCCGUAAGAC
rnacentral:rRNA from 1 species